AUAUUUUCAAUUUAGAGAUUUAUGGGAGAAAAAGCCUUUGCUUGUAAGAAGAAAAAAUGAAAAUUAUUAUAAUAAAUUGUUUAGUUGUGAAGAGUUUGAUAAAAUUUUAAAACAAAGAAGAGUGUGUUAUUCUGAAAACAUUGAUAUUACGCAAUAUGUUGAUGGAAAACGAGAGACAUUGAAUCCAGUUGGCCGCGCUUAUUCAUCAGUUGUAUGGAAUUACUAUAAGUUUAUCUAUAUCUAUUAUGGAUUAGAAUUGAUUUUCUUCCAAAUGAAAAUUUAUUGAAAAUGUUUUGUUAAUUUUUAAAAUACAAUUUAAAAUUAAGUGUAUUAUAAAUAAAACCAACUUAUAACAAAAAGAAUCAAAUUAUUGUUUUACUUGAGUAUAGUAUAUUUUAUCAAAUAAUAUGUUAAAAAGAAGUAAAUAGCAAAAUAAGUUACAGAAAUGCUUAUAUUCUUUUAUUACAAAUACAUAGGGGAAAAGUUAUUGAUAGAACUGAUAAGUGAACUGUGCUAGUAUAUAGUGCAGACAAGUCAAAGGACAUAGUUAUACUAGUACGAUCUUCAUACAAUGAGCUAUUAAUGGAGUACAUCAAGAUGACACAGUGCAUGAAAGCCCAUCUGCAGUUGCUUCACCUACAAUCAAGAGUUAAUUAAUAUUCAUUUAAGUAAAAAUAAAGUACAGUAGAGCGUCGAUUUUCCAAAAGUCAAUCAUCCGAAAGAAUUCCAGUCGG